GCCACAGCACAGCCACUAAGAACUGUCAGCACUAAAUGCGGGAGACAAACAGACUGAGCAGCGGGGCAAGAUUAGAACCAAUGAAAGUACAGACCCUUUGUUUCUCAAGAGUCUCAUGGAGUAAAAUUAUGAGCAACUGUAGGGUUGUUGCUGAUAUGCAUAAUAUCCGAACCAAAAUAUUUCCGUCUUAAAAAGCAGAAAAAAAUGUUACUGAUUUAUGUCUGAAAUGGAAAAAAUGUAGUAGCAAAAAUAAAAAGUAGAGAUAAAGAUGAAAGAAGAGCAAAAAUGUGUAGAAGUUUGAAUGAAAUAAAAGUGCUGGAGUCUUGGCUCAUCCUGCAACUUGGAUCUGGACUUCACUACACUUACUUGAGGAAACUCCCCUGAAAAUCCAUACUCAGACUUUCGCGAGCUGCAGAGAGCACUGUUUGUUGGAGCCAUCUCAUACAGAAUGAGGCAUGGGGGAGUGCAGAGUGAAGGUGAUUCGAGACACUGCACAGAUGUUAUUCUGAGCUGACACCUGGCUGAUGACAUCAGUUCAAAAAGAGAAGAAAGCCUUUAUGAUCCGGAAGAGUAAUCAUGAGAAGAGAAAGAAACAAAUUCUUGCACAAGGUUUCCAGUCUCGGUGUAUGGUAAGA